GAUGAACGCUAGCGGCAGGCCUAACACAUGCAAGUCGAGGGGUAGAACACUUCGGUGUUUGAGACCGGCGCACGGGUGCGUAACGCGUAUGCAAUCUACCUUGUACAGGGGAAUAGCCCAGAGAAAUUUGGAUUAAUGCCCCAUAGUAUAUAACCUUCGCAUGUUGGUUAUAUUAAAGUUCCAACGGUACAAGAUGAGCAUGCGUCCCAUUAGUUAGUUGGUAAGGUAACGGCUUACCAAGACGAUGAUGGGUAGGGGUCCUGAGAGGGAGAUCCCCCACACUGGUACUGAGACACGGACCAGACUCCUACGGGAGGCAGCAGUGAGGAAUAUUGGUCAAUGGUCGCAAGACUGAACCAGCCAUGCCGCGUGCAGGAAGACGGUCCUAUGGAUUGUAAACUGCUUUUAUACAGGAAGAAACCCUCCCACGUGUGGGAGCUUGACGGUACUGUAGGAAUAAGGAUCGGCUAACUCCGUGCCAGCAGCCGCUGUAA
rnacentral:rRNA from 1 species